rnacentral:rRNA from 1 species
UACGGAGGAUCCAAGCGUUAUCCGGAAUUACUGGGCGUAAAGAGUUGCGUCGGUGGCAUUGUACGUCUGUAGUGAAAGCGUGGGGCUCAACCCCAUACACAUUAUGGAAACUGCAAAGCUAGAGGACAAGAGAGGCAUCUGGAAUUCCUAGUGUAGGAGUGAAAUCCGUAGAUAUUAGGAGGAACACCGAUGGCGUAGGCAGGGUGCUGGCUUGUUCCUGACACUAAGGCACGAAAGCGUGGGGAGCAAACGGG